CUUUUAUAGAAUUAUCACGAGCCUUAACAACCAAAAUUGAAAACAAAGAAUCACCCAUCUCAUUGAUAAUAGACUUUAUUGUCUCUACAGCACAACAAUUAACUAAAUUCUUAUGGAUACUUGGUGAAGUCAUUUGGUCAUUUCCAGGAGCAUUACUAAGUACUACUUUAUUAAUUUUCUUACUACGAGCUCCAUACCAAUUUAGUAGCUCAAUUAUAUUUCUUUUAUUAGAAGACUCUUUCGAUUCAUCAUAACCACGAAAUGGCAAUCCUUACAACAAGAGAAAACUAGUACAAUCUAGCACCGCAGUCAAUCUUGUCCUAUAACUUUUUUGUUGACUACUACUUUAUCUAGAAAUAACAUAGGAGAUACUUUGCUUUUGAUUCAUCAAGUUGGUACACUUUGCAAAAGUUUGAUUAUGAGCACUAUCAACAAGCCUGACAUGAUCUUUCGAUAUAUUUUUGUGCUUCCAAUCCCUAAAGCCGCUCUUAGUGAAUAUAUGUCCACCCCCUUGACCCCCUCUAUCAAGUUUGAAUAAGUAGCAAUGCAAACAAUAAGUCGCAUCAUUUUCUAUACUGCACUCCAACCAAUAAAAUUCAGAAUACCAUUCUUUAUGAGAAUACCUAUUAUCAUUUCAUAUCCGUCUUCUUGGAAAGUCAUGUCCAUGUGGUUGACAAGGACCUUUUUUCCAAGUAUGCCAUCCUAACAUCAUCUUUGAUAUUAGGAUCAUUUGACUCGAUAGGGGGCAUUUUCUUGGAUCAGAUACAAGAUCAUCAACAUUGAAUUGAGCUUGAGACUCUUUAUGUUAUUUAACAACUCGUGUGCUCGGCUAGAAGCAAUAGCGGGACUAGAAGCACAAGUAGAAUUAGGAGAGCUGGGUAUAGACCUUCGUUUCGAUUGAAAAAAUCGUUCCAUAAUUUGCAAAAUGUCCCAAUUCAAUUUUCAAUUAGAAUUGAUCUAAAAAUCAACAAUUCAACAUUCGAGUUUGGAUUGAGCAUAUCUAGACAAAUCAACAAUUCAACAAACAAGACACAUCAAGUAAUCAACCACUCAUUUCGUUAACUUUUAUCACAAUCUACUAAAAAUCUGAUUUU
rnacentral:lncRNA from 1 species